UACGUAGGUGGCAAGCGUUAUCCGGAAUGACUGGGCGUAAAGGGUGCGUAGGUGGUUUGGCAAGUUGGCGGCGUAAUUCCGGGGCUCAACUCCGGCGCUACCGCCAAAACUGUCGGACUCGAGUGCAGGAGGGGUAAGUGGAAUUCCUAGUGUAGCGGUGGAAUGCGUAGAUAUUAGGAAGAACAUCGGUGGCGAAGGCGACUUACUGGACUGUAACUGACACUGAGGCACGAAAGCGUGGGGAGCAAACAGG
rnacentral:rRNA from 1 species